ACGAACGCUGGCGGCGUGCUUAACACAUGCAAGUCGAACGGAAAGGCCCUGCUUUUGUGGGGUGCUCGAGUGGCGAACGGGUGAGUAACACGUGAGUAACCUGCCCUUGACUUUGGGAUAACUUCAGGAAACUGGGGCUAAUACCGGAUAGGAGCUCCUGCUGCAUGGUGGGGGUUGGAAAGUUUCGGCGGUUGGGGAUGGACUCGCGGCUUAUCAGCUUGUUGGUGGGGUAGUGGCUUACCAAGGCUUUGACGGGUAGCCGGCCUGAGAGGGUGACCGGCCACAUUGGGACUGAGAUACGGCCCAGACUCCUACGGGAGGCAGCUGUGGGGAAUAUUGCACAAUGGGCGGAAGCCUGAUGCAGCAACGCCGCGUGCGGGAUGACGGCCUUCGGGUUGUAAACCGCUUUCGCCUGUGACGAAGCGUGAGUGACGGUAAUGGGUAAAGAAGCACCGGCUAACUACGU
rnacentral:rRNA from 1 species